rnacentral:rRNA from 1 species
AUUGAACGCUGGCGGCAUGCCUUACACAUGCAAGUCGAACGGCAGCACGGGAGCAAUCCUGGUGGCGAGUGGCGAACGGGAGAGUGAAGUAUCGGAACGUGCCCAGUCGUGGGGGAUAACGUAGCGAAAGUUACGCUAAUACCGCAUACGAUCUAUGGAUGAAAGCGGGGGAUCGCAAGACCUCGCGCGAUUGGAGCGGCCGAUAUCAGAUUAGGUAGUUGGUGGGGUAAAGGCUCACCAAGCCGACGAUCUGUAGCUGGUCUGAGAGGACGACCAGCCACACUGGGACUGAGACACGGCCCAGACUCCUACGGGAGGCAGCAGUGGGGAAUUUUGGACAAUGGGCGAAAGCCUGAUCCAGCCAUGCCGCGUGCAGGAUGAAGGCCUUCGGGUUGUAAACUGCUUUUGUACGGAACGAAAAGGUUUGGCCUAAUAAGCUGAGCUCAUGACGGUACCGUAAGAAUAAGCACCGGCUAACUACGUGCCAGCCGCCGCAGUAA